rnacentral:rRNA from 1 species
CCUACGGGUGGCAGCAGUGAGGAAUAUUGCACCAUGGGGGAAACCCUGAUGCAGCGACGCCGCGUGAGUGAAGAAGUAUUUCGGUAUGUAAAGCUCUAUCAGCCGGGCAGAAAAUGACGGUACCUGAUUACGAAGCCCCGGCUAACUACGGGCCAGCAGCCGCGGGAAUACGUAGGGGGCAAGCGUUAUCCGGAUUUACUGGGUGUAAAGGGGGCGUAGUCGGCAGCACAAGUCUGGAGUGAAAUGCCGGGGCUUAACCCCGGAACUGCGUUGGAAACUGUGCAGCUAGAGUGCAGGAGAGGUAAGUGGAAUGCGUGGUGUAGCGGUGAAAUGCGUAGAUAUUAGGAGGAACACCAGUUGCGAAGGCGGCUUACUGGACUGUAACUGACGUUGAGGCUCGAAAGCGUGGGGAGCAAACAGGAUUAGAUACCCCUGUAGUC